rnacentral:rRNA from 1 species
GACGAACGCUGGCGGCGUGCUUAACACAUGCAAGUCGAACGGAAAGGCCCUGCUUUUGUGGGGUGCUCGAGUGGCGAACGGGUGAGUAACACGUGAGUAACCUGCCCUUGACGUUGGGAUAACUUCAGGAAACUGGGGCCAAUACCGGAUAGGAGCUCCUGAUGCAUGGUGGGGGUUGGAAAGUUUCGGUGGAGUGGGAUGGAUUCGCGGCUUAUGAGCUUGUGGGUGGGGUAGUGGCUUACCAAGGCUUUGACGGGUAGCCGGCCUGAGAGGGUGACCGGCGACAUUGGGACUGCGAUACGGAGCAGACUCCUACGGGAGACAGCAGUGGGGAAUAUUGCACAGUGGGCGGAAGCCUAAUGCAGCGACGCCGGGUGCGGGAUGAGGGCCUUCGGGGUGUAAACCGCUUUCGCCUGUGACGAAGCGUGAGUGACGGUAAUGGGUAAAGAAGCACCGGCUAACUACGUG